rnacentral:rRNA from 1 species
GAGUUUGAUCCUGGCUCAGGAUAAACGCUGGCGGCGUGCUUUAUGCAUGCAAGUCGAACGGUCUGUUUAGUUAAGCUUGCUUAGUUAAACAGAUAGUGGCAAACGGGUGAGUAGCGCGUAAGCAACCUGCCCCUAAGUAGGGGAUAACUCUGAGAAAUCGGAGCUAAUACCUUAUGUGGUCCUUCACCGCAAGGUGAAGGACUAAAGCUUUCGGGCGCUUGGGGAGGGGCUUGUGUCCUAUCAGCUUGUUGGUAGGGUAACGGCUUACCAAGGCGACGACGGGUAGCUGGUCUGAGAGGAUGUCCAGCCACAUGGGGACUGAGACACGGUCCUGACUCCUACGGGAGGCAGCAGCAAGGAUAUUGUGCAAUGGGCGAAAGCCUGACACAGCGACGCCGCGUGGGGGGAAGAAGGCCUUCGGGUUGUAAACCCCUUUCUCAGGAAGAAUAAUGACGGUACCUGAGGAAUAAGUCUUGGCUAACUACGUGCCAGCAGCCG